AGAGUUUGAUCCUGGCUCAGAUUGAACGCUGGCGGCAGGCUUAACACAUGCAAGUCGAGCGGAGUGAUGGUGCUUGCACUAUCACUUAGCGGCGGACGGGUGAGUAAUGCUUAGGAAUCUGCCUAUUAGUGGGGGACAACAUUUCGAAAGGAAUGCUAAUACCGCAUACGUCCUACGGGAGAAAGCAGGGGAUCUUCGGACCUUGCGCUAAUAGAUGAGCCUAAGUCGGAUUAGCUAGUUGGUGGGGUAAAGGCCUACCAAGGCGACGAUCUGUAGCGGGUCUGAGAGGAUGAUCCGCCACACUGGGACUGAGACACGGCCCAGACUCCUACGGGAGGCAGCAGUGGGGAAUAUUGGACAAUGGGCGCAAGCCUGAUCCAGCCAUGCCGCGUGUGUGAAGAAGGCCUUAUGGUUGUAAAGCACUUUAAGCGAGGAGGAGGCUACUGAAGUUAAUACCUUCAGAUAGUGGACGUACUC
rnacentral:rRNA from 1 species